UUUCUCGCUCUCUUUUUUUCUCUGGUCGAUGACUCAUUUGGGUUCUGGAGGCCAUUCAUUCGCUGGUCAUCAGUUGUGCUUGUUUCUAAGCUCUUUUUCUUGGGCCCCCGAAAUCGAAAGCUAAAACCCUAAAAAAAAGUACAAAAAGUUGCAGAUGAUUUCUUUGCUUUCUUUGAUAUGGAGUUUGAUUCCAUGACGAUCACAGCUCCACAAGAGCAACAUCAGCGGCAGCAGCACCAGCAGCUCUCUAUGUGCUGCCUCCGGGGAUUGCUUCGCCAGGUCAAAGCAUUCCAAAUUUUUCUGGUUCUGUUAUGUACCAUUUUUUGCCUUGCUACAUGUGGACCAUGCCUGAUGGAUGGGAUGCAGAAAUCCAAGGAGUAUGAUGGCUGUGGAGCCUAUGGAGAUGAUUGUGCUUUGGGUUUUCAAGAUAUUAUUGUUGCUGAUGCUAGUUCAGGCUAUGAAAAAGAAAGUCCUUUGACUCACAUGAGUAUCAAGAAUAUUUGUACCAAUUCUCAUUCUUUCUGCUUUCCUUCAACAUUGCCUGGUCUUCCAUCUAAUGAGCAAGAGCAUAAAGCAGAUGCUGUAGAAGUUGCUAGGAGUCUCUCUGAUAGUCCAUCUGUAGGACCAACUCAGGAUAGCAAGGGGGCUAGUAACAGGAGGUGGUUUUCAGAUUCUGGUGUGUUUGAGUUGUUAAAUGGGCGGACUGUUUCUUGUUCUUUGAAUUCCAUGGAGGGCAUCAAUCAAUUAUCAUCCAUGCAAAAUGGUAGUGCUAAUCAAAAUGACAUUUCUUCCUGUAGAGGUCCUUUACUAACUAAGAAGAGCGCAAGUUUUAGGCUGAACACAGACUCUGAGAUGACAAAAUCUAGUCCCUUUGAUGUUUCUUUGUCACCCCAUGUAAAAAUUAGCCCUCCUGUACUUGAUUGGGGAUACAAGCACUUGUAUUUUCCCUCCGUAGCUUUCUUAACAGUAGCUAAUACGUGUAAUAACAGCAUUUUAUAUGUGUAUGAACCGUUUAGUACCAAUAUACAGUUUUAUCCCUGCAAUUUUAGUGAUUUUUUUUUAGGACCUGGUGAAGUAGCAUCAGUUUGUUUUGUGUUUUUACCAAGAUGGCUGGGCUUGUCCUCAGCUCAUUUGAUCUUGCAGACAAGCUCUGGUGGUUUUCUGAUCCAGGUUAAAGGCUAUGCUACGGAGUCUCCUUACAAGAUUAGUCCUGUUAUAAGUGUGGAUGCUGCUUCUAGUGGACGGUUGAUUAGGAAUUUGUCUUUGUUUAAUCCUUUCAAUGAAAACCUCUAUGUUAGGGAAAUAAGCACAUGGAUUUUGGUUUCUCAAGGAAAUAUUUCCCAUCAUACUGAAGCAAUCUGUAGCGUAGAAAAUUUUCAAGAUUCUAACAGGCUGAGCCUGCUGAGUGUUAAGGAUUGGUUGGUUGUGAAGAGUGGCGAAGCUGAUUUUACAUUGAUGGCUAUAAGACUUCAUGAAAAUUGGGAGAUUGGUCCUCAUGGCAGUGAAACUGUCAUAGAGAUAGACCUCUCAUUUGAAUCUGAAGUUCAAAUUGUUGGUUCUUUUUGUAUGCAGUUACUAAGGGCUUCUCAAGACAAGUCUGAUACUAUUUUGGUUCCUCUUGAAAUUAAUCUAGAUGGAAAAGGGUCAUAUAAUGGUAUUUCAAGUUCAGUUUCAGUUUCUCUUGAGGCUCUGGUGUCAUGUGAUGCUAGCAACACUUUUGUUGCUAUCUCUUUGAGAAAUGGAGCUCCUCAUGUAUUUACUUUUGUCAAGAUUAGUGAAGUUGCACCAAAAAAAGUUUUCCUGUUCAAGUACAUGCAAGGCUUGCUACUGUUCCCAGGCACUGUUACACUGGCUGCUACAAUUACUUGCACUCAGCUGCUUGUUGAAUUACAUGAUCCCGUGCCUGAAAUAUCCAAUAUUUAUAAGAACUGCAAAUUAGUUGUGCUAACAAAUGACACUAGUAGUCCUCAAAUUGAAAUUCCUUGCCAGAGCAUAAUCCAUAUUUGUUUGAGACAUCAAAAGGAUUCAUCCAUUGGAAUUGAUCAUCAAUCUGAAAAGGCUGAAUCUGGAAGUAGAAGGUCAGGAUCAUUGGGCAGUAGCAGGAAUUUGCCUUUGAAGGUCAAGGCAUUGGAGACCGUAGAAGCAGAUGAAUUUGUUUUGGAGAACUGGAAAUCUCAAGGUACCACAAGCAGCAUGUCUGUGCUUGAUGAUCAUGAAGUAAUUUUCCCAAAGGUUCAGGUUGGAACUCAACAUUCUAAGUGGAUCACCGUAAAGAAUCCUAGUGAACAGCCAGUUGUAAUGCAGCUCAUUCUUAACUCAGGAGAAAUUAUUGAUGAAUGCAGGGGCACAGACAGUUUUAUACAACCCCUUUCAUCAAGUAGUUUGGUUCAUAAUGAGUUUAAGACAACUAGGUAUGGAUUCUCGGUGGCAGAGGGUGCACGAACAGAGGCCUACGUUCAUCCUUAUGGGAAAGCAUAUUUUGGGCCAAUUUUAUUUCAUCCUUCAAAUAGAUGUGGGUGGACAAGUUCUGCCCUGAUAAGGAACAAUCUUUCUGGUGUCGAAUGGUUAUCUUUGAGAGGAGUUGGAGGUUCACUUUCCCUUGUCCUGCUUGAGGGGUCUGAGCCUAUUCAGAGCAUAGAAUUUAAUCUCAACUUGUCAUUUCCUCUAAAUCUCUCUCCUCCAGACCCGUUAUUUAACAUGAAAGAGACCACUUAUGCUUGUUCUCAGCAGCUGUCGAAAGAGCUGUAUGCCCAAAACACGGGAGACUUGCCUUUUGAGGUGAAAAGUAUUGAAGUUUCUGGAACAGAGUGUCGGUUGGAUGGGUUUAUUGUUCAUAAUUGUAACGGUUUUUCACUUGAACCAGGUGAGUCAACAAAGCUUUUGAUAUCAUACCACCCUGAUUUUUAUGCGCCAAUGUUACAAAGAGAUCUAGAACUGGCCUUGGCUAGCGGAAUUUUUGUGAUACCAAUGAAGGCAAGUCUUCCUGUAUAUGUGUUCAAUCUUUGCAAGAAAUCAGUAUUCUGGAUGAGAUUGAAGAAAUUCUCUGCAGUUGUGUUUCUUUCUGCUUCCUUGAUGUUCUUGAUCUUUUGUUGCAUAUUCCCCCAAGUGAUGAGUUUUGGCUCCCAGGAUUAUUUCUAUAAGAGUGAGAAGAGUGUUCAUGCUACAGCGAGAAGUUCAGGGAAAUCUGCUCGCCAGGAUCUUAGUCAGAAAAGCAGUAAGUUUUGUAUGCCUCCUGAAAUGGAUGGCUUGUUAAGCUCAGUUGAAGGCAAAACCUCAGAGCAGGCAUCUGGUUAUAAAUAUCUUGGUAGUCAACUUGGAGGCCCAGACCAUGGGAUAACUGUUGAGAAUGGGAUACCAUCCCUAGAAGAUCACAAAGCAGUACCAUCUUUGCUGUCAAAAUCUGUAGCAAUUGAAAAUUCUAAUGCACUUGAUGCUUCCCAACCUUGUAGCCUUACCGUCAGGAUUGGAAAAGAGAAAGGAAGAAGGCGAAGGAAGAGAAAGGGUGUUACUGCAGGUUUAACAGGACUUUUUGAAGUUUCAAGUAGUCAAAGUGGGAAUUCCACACCUUCAUCUCCUCUAUCUCCUGUAAUGAAUGUGACUCCUAAUCGUACUUGGUCACCAUCUCCUGACAUGGACCCUAUUGAAGCUAGAAAUCCAUUCACUCUAGUGGCUGACCAACAGGGUGAGGUUCGAGUGGCUGAGUCUACUGCCAAGGCAACUGUAUUGGAGCCCAGGGUUUAUUUAAAAUGCUACAGUAGUAAUUGUUUCUCUGCUACUGCAAAGCAACUUUCAGUGCCAGAAGAAACUACUGGAAAGCCCGUUUUGUUGCCUUCUGCCACUAUUCCUUCUGGUGGUAGGGCUGUCCCCAAUCUGAUGCACACUUCUCCAGCUUCAAAAUCUACAAUUGCUCCUCAUGCUCGAGCUCCUGGGCCCAGGCUUUAUAACCAGAAAAAAGUAGAAGAAAAGAAAAUCCGAGUCUUUCUAAGACUCGAGAGCACUUUUAAGAGGCCUUGACCUUGAGAUUCAAGAAUGAUGAUCAGCUUGUGAUGUUAAGUUCCGCGCCUGCAAAGAAGCUCUUGCUUGCAACGUGUUGCUUGCAAGCAGUAAGGAUACUACUUCACGGACCACUGUGGUAAAAGCAGACUAUAAAUGCAAAAUCUGUGGUAGCAUGCCAUAAAGCCAUAAAGGUUGUUAGAAAUCGGUAACUUUCAGACUGCUUGGUGAGAAAACCUGCAACAGAUCGCAGAUGGUUAAAGACCAGCAAAGGACAUGUUACAGAUAAGACGGAUUUUUGGUCCGCAAAACUGUUUGAUGUUUACCACAGAGAAGAUUGCCCGUGCUCAUGUUUGCCGAGACCCAGCAACAAUUGGCUACCAUUUCUAAAUGAUGAUUAUUAAUUGCUAUUUUGCGGGGGACCCUAAGUGUUUUUUUUUUUUUUUUUUUUUCCCUCUCAAAACAGAGCUGGCAGAACCUAUAUGGGAAACCAGACGCAGACCGCAUCAAUCCCAUCAUCUAAUCAUCAUAACUAAUUGGUUGUGGUCUCAUUCUUUGUUUGUGGGUAUGAGCUGCCUCUCUCUAUUUUGAUAGGUUCUAAAAUGCUAGAGAUGUUGUGAAGUGUAGUGUUAUAUUUUUGCAAUAUCUAUAUUUUUUUCCUCUUCUAAAUAAGCUUGUAUAUCUGGAUUUUAAUCAGUUCACAGAUCAUUAGGAUGUAUUAGAAGUGGUCCAGUCUUUUGGUGUCCACUGGACCACAUCAUGCACACUGAAUAAGGACUGUGACCCAUCACCCUUUCCCUUGGAGUCUUGCUCUUGACUACCCUUCAUAGUCCUAGCAAGGCACACAAGACAGAAUUGAGAAAGAUAUAGCUACUUAAUUUCUGUACAAGAGGAUUUUGCAAAAAUCUGUGAACAUUAGUACUUCACCUUAGGUAACUAAA